rnacentral:rRNA from 1 species
UAGGUGAAGAUCUCUGGAAUGAGUUUUCGCUUAAAAGACGUUGGGGUUAUGCUCUCCAGUGUCGCCCAAGGAUGGGGCCGCGACCGAUCAGGUUGUUGGUGAGGUAAUGGCUCACCAAGCCUUUUACCGGUGCGGGCCGUGGGAGCGGGAGCCCGGAGAUGGGCACUGAGACAAGGGCCCAGGCCCUACGGGGCGCAGCAGUCGCGAAAACUUUGCAAUAAGCGAAAGCUUGACAGGGCUAUCCCGAGUGCCAUCCGCUGAGGAAGGCUUUUACCCAGUCUAGAACGCUGGGGGAAUAAGGAGAGGGCAAGUCUGGUGUCAGCCGCCGCGGUAAUACCAGCUCUCCGAGUGGUGUGGAUGUUUAUUGGGCCUAAAGCAUCCGUAGCUGGCUAGGCUAGUCCCCUGUUAAAUCCACCGAAUUAAUCGUUGGAUUGCGGGGGAUACUGCUUGGCUAGGGGACGAGAGAGGCAGACGGUAUUUCCGGGGUAGGGGUGAAAUCCUAUAAUCCCGGGAAGACCACCAGUGGCGAAGGCUGUCUGCUAGAACGCGCCCGACGGUGAGGGAUGAAAGCUGGGGGAGCGAACCGGAUUAGAUACCCGGGUAGUCCCAGCUGUAAACGAUGCAGACUAGGUGUUUGAACGGCCACGUGCCGUUCUAGUGCCGCAGGGAAGCUGUUAAGUCUGCCGCCUGGGGAGUACGAUCGCAAGAUUGAAACUUAAAGGAAUUGGCGGGGGAGCACCACAAG